UGCGUAGGCGGUUUACUAAGUCAGAUGUGAGAGCCCGAGGCUCAACCUCGGGACUGCAUUUGAAACUGGUAAACUAGAAUACAGGAGAGGUAAGUGGAAUUCCUAGUGUAGCGGUGAAAUGCGUAGAUAUUAGGAGGAACACCAGUGGCGAAGGCGACUUACUGGACUGUUAUUGACGCUGAGGCACGAAAGCGUGGGGAGCAAACAGGAUUAGAUACCCUGGUAGUCC
rnacentral:rRNA from 1 species